ensembl:lncRNA
GCGUAACGGAGCUCUGAGUGUAGACAGGGGGCUGCUGCGCUGCACCCCCAUAUGCAUGGAGGAUGUUUAUGGCUACUUGCAACGAGCAUCCCUCUAUUACCUGCUUCUCUAUGUUUCAGGAGACCCCUGCCCACCCUUGCAGAUGUCCACGACAUCAUGCCAGCCUCAGCAAGCAUCUCUUUCCUCCAGACGACAGCCUGGGUCUACCUUCAUGCCAGGAUGUGCCGCGAGCCCGUCCUCUUGCCCACUGGACCCUCCCUGGAUCUCAUGAUGGUGGAGAAGGGUAGUGACCCCCUGUGUAUAUUCAGGCAGCGCUUGUCUGACCCUGAUAUAGGCAAGGGUGUGGCCAGGAGAUUGAACCCUUCUGGCGUUACUUGUGUGUGCAGGACAGUGCUGAUAAGGGUGUGGCAGAUCGUGAGGGGUUGCUGUGGACUAUAGCAGUCAAAUUCACGAACGCUUGAAGAUUGACUCCAGAAUAGACUUAUGUUCUUCAACUCCCUAGUCUGUCAUCCCGACACCUGGAAGGAAUAUGGAGAAAUAGCCUUGCAUGACUUUGACAGGUUGAACUUUGACAGCCCAAUGAUAUAUUCACAGCCACUGGGGCAGUGCUCUGUAGCCCCAAAUGGGCCAUCUUUUAUUAUGAAGUCCCUGGACCCCGAGACUGCUGGCCACCUAUGUCUGGAGUAAAUGCCCUAGGUACCUACAGAGACCAACCCUGGACAUGAUCCUGGGGAGACCAGGGUGCUAGCUUCUGCCCUCCUCUCUUCCUUGCCUGCCCCUCCCUUAUAUUGAAAAGUCUUUGUGAAACUCUCAUGCUUUAGGAUUCACAGCCUUACUCAUUUUAGGGUAAGCCCUAACCCCUGCCUCUAUUUGUGGGUUCUCUAGGGACCAGAACUUCACCCUUCCUUCCUGCCCACACACAUGCAGGCACACAUGGAAGGAAGCUACUUGUCUCUUGUCUUUACUGGGAUAUGUGUUCACAUGUGUGCACGUGAGCUAUCUCUGUGAUGGCAUUCUUACACACCCUGAGUUUUUACACGGACAGGUUGCCUGGCAAGUCAUCUGCCUCCCUGCAGGAUACCUGACAAGCUAGAAACCCAGGGAAGGGAAGAGGAGCCAGUCUCUUGCUCGAACCCAAGGACGCAAAGAGGAGCCAGUCUCACUCGAUGGGAAACCAAAAGCAGACGAUGCGUUUCUGAGAAAGAAGAAAGGAGGUUGAGGCCGCCCAGAUCACGGACUUAUCCAACUGCCACCAGAUGCUUACAGAGAUAGAGA